GGGCAGGUGGGGCUGCUGGAGGCGAGGCCUGCCUGGGGCAGAUAGCUCACAAGUAGAUCCUCCGCAGGUCUCCGGGUGCUGUGAUCGUGUUGCACUGAGGGCAGAGCUUCUUGGCACCCUGCAGGGAGAACAGGGAGGGCUCUGGUCUACACAAUGUGCCACGUGUGCGCAUGCGAGCACCUGGGCCUGCAGCCAUGUCUCUCUGCACCAGUGUGUGCUGGGACCUUGGUCCUGUCAGCACAGGCUGGGGACGCAUAGGCAGCUUCUGUGAGCAGGCAGGCACGCUCCUGUGUUGGGGGGACGCCAGGAUCAAACCGCCUGGCCAGCCCCGCAGCAGGAGCCCCGGUAAUGAGAACAAGGCUGGGUCCAGCUGUGGCAGCCGCAGCCCUAACGAGAUUACACGCGGCCUUUGAUCAGGACACAGAGCCCACGUCCGAGCCUUUUAUUGCUGUCUCCGGGCGACAUUUUAAUGGCUGCUCCUGAGCGAGGAACAGGGGCAGGAGCAGAAGGAGCUUAGUAAUGGGAGGGGGAGGGGCCAAGGCCCUGGUCCUGUUUACCCACAGCCAGCCUCCUCCUGACCCUGGGCCUCACCAGUCUGUGUGAUGCAGUGGACCUUCGGGGGGGCAGGGGGAGGGGAAGGGAGAAUGCAGUGAACUCAUGGAGGGGGAGAAGUUCCUAAACCUGCAGUGGGGGAGGAGGCAGCGAGCCUGGGGGUAAAUAUCCUGUUCUCCUUUGCCCCAUGCUCCCCACUUCCCCCAGGCAGGCUCAGGCAUAAGCAUGGACAGCUGGGCAGUGCCCGGAACGGCCUCCCAUUCCCCGACCCCCAUGCCACCUCACCAGGGUCCGCAGCCAGCACUCCUCGCAGUGCACGUGCCAACACUGGAUGGACGUCAGGGGCAUCGAGUACGAGUCCUAGGGAGGAGGGGGCAGACAAGGAAGGGGUCACUCUGAGGCAGGUCCACCCACUGAAGAGCCCAGAGCACAGUGCGGAGACCCUCUCCAACUCCCCCAGAGGGCGCAGAAGCCUGACCAACGGAACCCCUAGGUUCUUUUCUACUCACCAUGCAGAUGAGGCAUUUGUAACGGUCCCCACGAGAUAGCUGCCGUUCAAGUUCUCUGACCCGAGCCUUCAGAGCCUCAAACGUGGUCACAGCUGAAUCUUCGGUGAUUCUGUAAAAAGGAAGGCAUGGUUGGGUGGCAGGCGGGCAUCUCCCAUUUGCACCUCCAGCCUACACCUCCCUUGAAUUCCAGAACCAAAUACAGAAAUGUCCCCUAGGCAUCCCUGCCUGCCCCCUUCCUCUGAUAGCCCGAAUCUGCAAAUUCACAUUCCACAACUAAACUCCUCACCCUCUCUGUUCCUCCAUUCCCAUCCGGAUGAAUUUUUACACCACAGAUACCAGGGAACCGUUUCCAACCACUCCUUCGCAGUCUUCCCAACAACCCAAAUCUGUCAUCUUUCCUGGUAUCUCCAGCAUCUCUCCACUUCUUUUGCCCCUCACCACCACUAGUCCAGGCUCUCAGAUGUCUUGCACCAAUUCCUCCACUAACUUUUUCCAGACAGCCUCUCUUCCUCCAGGCCCCUCAUCUCCAUUCCACUCUCCCAACACCUAGAAGAAUUUAUGUUCUCAAAGCGAAUCUCUUGUGGUGUGACUUCCAACAUUCCAAUGUCCCCCUCAGAGUAGAGCUCCACCGCACUCCUUGGUCCAGUUCCAGCCCACCGCACCCCUGAGGACCUUGCCAUGCAUUUUAUGCUCGACUGCUAUGUGUCACCAUCCAUGCCACCUUUUUCACUGCCUUGGCCUCUGCACUGUGAUCCCUUUGCACCCCCUCGCCUGACUCACUAGCUCUGCCUCAUCAUUCAGACCUAGUUUUGUUCUCAUGCCCUCCCAGAAGCCUUUUCUAGACCCCCGAGCCAGCACUGCACAGUGGCUCUCACAGCCCCGUGUGAACACCACAGCAGUGUAAAGUUCCUGAGUGUGGGUUCCCUGAGGGUGCGCUGCUCACUCCACCAACACUACGGCCAAGAGCCCCACCUCAAGCACGGGGCACGAGCAAACACUUGCUGAAGAAAGGGCCCGUCCAACCUCCAGGGACAGGGGGAGAGAUGCAGGGACUGGGCGGGUCCCACAUGAUCUAGGUCCCUUUGCCACAGGCCUGGCCUGCCUCCAGGGCUCCUUGUUACUUCCUAGGCAUAUCAGAUGCCCUGGUAGUCCUGUCUGUGGGAAGCCCUGCACCAGAAGGUCCCUCCUGCAUGUCCAGGACUCCUUGGGCUGCACUGCUGAACAGGGAAUAGCUAGGACUCUCUCAAGGAACCUUCCCGCCCUCCUAAAACAAGUGAACAGGACCCAGAGGAGCUCACAGAGGGAGGAGAAUGCUUCCUGGAAGACUAGAAAAGAUGGUGCAGGAGACUGGCCUUAGGGAAUAGUAAUGAUAAUACAAAUAAAAUAGCUAAAAUUUAUUAAGCACUUACUAAAUGCCAGGGAUUGUACUGAGGGAUUGAUAAUUAUUAUCUUAUUUACACCUCACAAAAACCCCAUGAGAAGAUUCUAGUAUCUCCGAUUUAUAUACAAAGAAACUAAAGCACAGAAAGAUUAAGUAGCUUGCUCAAGGUCCCCACAGAGUCAGGGAGAUGGGAUUCAAACCUGGCAGACUGAUUCCAUGAUCAACUAAUAACUGUGUGACUGACCAUGACUGUACUGGCUACACCCAGGAGGAGGGGGCUUCCAGGCCAAGAGAACAGCAGAAACAGAGGCCAAGAGGCCCAAGAUUCUAGUCUGGCUAGAAGGCCCAUGUGUAGGCAAAGUGCUACAGUGAGAAAGGAGAUGGCAUGCAGGAGGACCUCAAAUGCCACACCUGAAGGAGCUGAAGUUUAUCUCAUGGACAGCAGGAAGCUGCUGAGGAUGCUGGAAGAGCGGGAUACGAACAGCUCAGGUUUCACAGAUGUACUUAAUCAGGAAGCAGAGGCUGGACUGAGAGCAGCGGGAAUCAUAAGGGAGGUGGACUUUGGGCAAGGACAUUCUCCUGGGGGCACCUGUUCUGCAGUUUAGGGGAGACAAUCAGCUCAGGAAGCUUGAGAGCUUACAGGUGGUCUGUCAUUACUGGAUGUGAGUGGUAAUGGGAGUGCAGGGAGGGUAGUGGUCACAUUUCAUGGGCAAUAACAAACUUCAAUCUCUGGCCUUUUUCCUCUGGGGAGCUAGCAGCAACACAGAGCUUGACUCCUUAGUGGCUGUGUCCCUGUAUCAGGGACAAUUAAAUCCAUCACCCUAGGGUCCAUGAUUCCCUCUGCCUUGCCUCUUCCCACGGAUGCCAAGAAAGGCUCUGACUCGUUCCUCCUGGUACUGGCUGAUUCCCUGGGGGCUUCCAUUUAUCCCUCUGGUUCUGGAAGUCUUUACUACCCCUUCUCUCGUCACAAGCCCUCAAACAGCAGGCUCCUUCCCUGGCAUUUUGCACAAUGCUAUAUAUGCCAUCCCCAUCUGGAUUACAGGUAAAUUCCUGAUAAGGAGACAAGGAUUUGUAGCUGUGCUCCCUUCCACUCCAAGGACUAAGCUGAGAAUUUGCCUAGUCCUAUAUGGUUAUUUCAAAGAUGGGGAAACUAAGGCCUGCAGCUGGGGGCAGCCUACCCCAGAAUGGAGAACUAACUCCCAAACCUCAAAUCAGAGAACUGGAGCUGGAAUGGCAAAAAUGGAUGAGGCCAGGAGAGAACGAAGUCAUUUCCCAUGCCAUCUCCAAGAGCUACAAGGCCACAGUGAAGGCCAACAGCCAACUCCAGAGCCUGCCUAUCCUGGGUGUGCUCAGCACACACCUGCCCUCCAAUCUUGGCUCUGGCGAAAUACCCAAGCCUCCAACCCCUGGUCCAGGCUGGCUGUGAGCUAUUCCUGAGCCCCUCCAGGGCACGGGGGGUGGGGAGAUUCUUGGUGGAGCCAUGGCAUCCUACCAUUCCUUUUCCCUGCGUAGUAAAACAGAUCUAGGGCAAGAAAUAGAGAAAUCUUGGGGACUGACGGGCCCCAGUCUCAGCAGACCCAGACCCAGUGGAGAGCUCUGCACAUGACUGAGCCAGUCUCCACCUCAUCAUAGAGAUCCCUGCCUAUGGGUGCCUGUGCUCACACAGGUGGGACAGAAAUCCUGGCUACCCCCAGCCUUGGGUGGGUUGUACCUUCAUGGAAGCCACUGGCUCUGCCCCCACCUCCUCCUUGGGCACCAUCCCUGAUUAAUGAUCUUGUCUUUCUGAUUUAUGAGCAGCCCCUCCAGACGAGGGUGGGUGCCCCUUACAACCCCGCCCGCCCCGCUCAGCUGGAGUAGGAGAGAAUUAUUAAAUAAACAUCCAUACGUCAUUCCUCCCCCCCCACAAGCUGGUUGCACCGAACCCGUACGGCCCGCUCCGGCGCUGACACGGAGCAGCUGCGGUGAUUCAUGGGCAGCCGGGCCCUGCGCCGCGGCCCAUACAUCAUGCCAGCAGCACUCGCGGCCCCGGCCGAGAUAAACUGAUCAACCACAACGGGCUGGAAUGAAUUUAUGACAACACAAAAUGGAGGGAAACAAAUGGGAGGUGACCCUGGGCCACCGACCCGGCCCUGCACCGGCCUGCAAUCCACUCUCCUGGCAGGAGGCAAAGAUGGAACACUGGCCCUGGAAUGAAGAGGCUGCCUUUUAACCCCAGGCAACCUAGCCUGCAGUCAGAAGGUGGAGUGGGUACUGGAGUUAAGCAAUGACCAAUGGCAGCAGCACCAGGCAGCCCAGACUGGACAAUGCCAUCUCCUGAGGCCAGAACUGGCUUUCCUUGGGCUUCUGGGAAGUCAGGGAGAUGCCCAGCUGAUACUAAAUCUUUGUGGUUCCCGGGGAUCCGGGCCAGGGAUUGCCCAGCGCUGGGCGAAGUGCUAAUGGAUCCCCUUUCCUCUGCCAGAGAACCCAGGCCAAAAAUUCCUACCAGAAGUGAUGAGACCCAAUGUUCCUGCCUAAAACCCACUGUGAGUGCCACCCGGGACAAGAAAAAUGAAACCAAUUUAGCUCCCGAUUAAGAAACAGAAACUGGAGAUGAAUCAAGUGCGCCGGCUGGGCUGGGCGGCCAUACAUCACAUUCCCCGGGUGGAGGCCGCCACAGCGGGCAGGCAGGCGGGCGGACUGCUCCUCCCUCCGCCAAGGCUCCCGGGGCCGUGGCCCAGCGAUCAAUUCACAGAGUCACGCUUAGCACCAGCUGGGCUCCACUGCCGGCUGUGUGCCCAGGGCAGCAGCACUGAGCUGCACUUGGGAGGGCCAGAAGCCCUGGCAGCAGGCCUUCCUGCUAGUAAAGGGCCCCUCCUCCCACUGAACUGCGGUCCCAGGGCCCCUCCUGGCCAAACACUCACUUCUCGAUGUCGCUGUUCUUGCAGGUCUUCUGCAUGGCCUCCUGCUUGCUGCUUUCCCCAUUGCUGGUGGAUGGCAUCUCUGCUGGGACAGAGGGGCAACUCAUACUCCGGCCAGACUGGGCAGCACAGGUGCUAACGCGGCUUGGCUGUCACCUUCAAUGCAUCACCCGAGGCUGAGAGCCCCCCUCGUCAUUCCUAGCUUGCAGCCUCACAAUUCCAUUUCCCCACCCAAAUACAUCCAUUUUAAUAUGCACAUCACAGGCAGGCAGCACGGUCACAAAGGAGCCCCACCAGCAGCAGUCCCCACGUGGUGGAACGGAUGGAUGACCAGCCACCAGCCUCGGCCUCUUGGCUCCCAACAGAUGGAUACCCAGCAGAGGCCUGGCACCAGAGUGCCACUGUCUAUGUGUCAGCUGCUUGUACCUCGGAAGCCACCUUCCAGAAGAGUGGUGGCCCGUAUCCGCUUCUGCCCACACCAUUCAUACUCCUCAAAGCGGUUGUUGUUCUCAUGCUCGAUGUCCACAGCAUCAUCCUCAGCCAUGCAGGAGCCUUCCCUCUGUGAAGAGCAGAGCAGGAUCAUGCUGGGCCCAGGCCAUCCCCACCUGCUCCCCACAGUCUGCGACGAAGGCACAGCUCUAGCCCCAGCUGUGGUGCGCCAAGUGGGCCCUCAGCUCUAGGGCUCCUCUGAAGCAAACCAAUUUAGAGGUCAAAGACCUGGGCCUCUUCCCAAAUUUUCCACUGGAGCCCAAGGAGGGAAUGAGUGAGAGUGAAAGCAAAGGGAGAGAGCAGUGGACAGAAGUGAAGAAGCUGCUGAGACCACAUGGAGACCCCAAGAGCCCACAGAUUCAGGGGUAGUCUGCAGCUAGUGUCGGGGGAAGGGAGUGGGGAAGGAAGGUGGGUGGUGAUGGCCCCUCUACCUUAGAAAGGCAAUGCUCCACAUGCCUACUCAUCUCCUGCUCCGAUCCUGCCAGGGGGCAGUUGCACAGGGGACAUACCUGCCCUUCAUCUUGCUUCCUCCGUUUCAUUUUCCCAAUCCGAGCUGCACGGGGGAACCGAAAACAAAGCACAGAACAAGCAGACGGUCACUGCAGCCCCCAAGGUCCCAGUGGAGCUGACACAUCCUGACCUCUUGCCAACCACUAGCGUUUUUAUUCAGUGCCUGAUCUGGCCCUCAUCUUGAAGUACCUCCUGCUCCUUUGGGGACUGGGCUUUGCCAAGAGCACCUGGGGAGGAGACUGGUGCUAACUAAGCCAGUGAGUAAGUCUACUCUUUGGCCACAGCUGGUGCAAGGUCUACCCAUACCUUUACUUGCAGUGUUUAGUAAGAGUCCAAUGAGCAAAGACACUCCAUGUUGCUAGGUAUCUCUCCAGAAAGCCAAGACCAUGAACUCUUUUGGUGUCGGGAAAUACAACUCUAAAGAGCAUCUCUUGGCUAGAACCUAACCCCUCCAGUGGCCUGACUUGGCCUGCUGUUCACUCAUCAGCUAAAUCCUCUUUUGUUCCUGGGCCAAGAGCCCUGAGGUACAACUCCUAGCAUCCCACCUAGAAUCUUAACAGGAAGAAUUUCUCUGAGGUCCACUAAUCCCAUUUUACAGAAGAGGAGACUGAGGCCCAGUCACAAAGGUAAGAGGGUCUGGGUCAGACCUUUGGCAGCCAGGUCAGAAGGCUCAGGGAACCCUGAGAAGGCAGCCCUUAUUGUGCCCACCUGAACCUGUUCCAUCAUUUCUAAUCAGUACAGAGGGGCUGGCAGGCCCUGGAGGCAGAGGGCUGCCUGCCAUGUUGUCCCACAGGGGGCUCAGUUCCAAAGUGCACACUGCAAGCCCACAGCACUGCUAAUUAAUGCUGAGCGAUGCAAUCAUUUCUAAUUAGCUCAGUAAUCCCUCUCUGUAGCCCUCCUGUCACUGAAGCAGGAAGGGGUCAAAAUAAGAAACUCUGUUCCCUCUAGUCCCUUCCAGAAUGCCACAGCAGGAUCAGAGAUGGCUACUCUGGGACCAAAUUGAUGGGGAGGCGGGAGAGCCAGCCAAGGAGGGAAAGGUUCCCCAGUGCAGGGCCAGGAAGAACUUUCUCACAGACAGUGACUCUGACAAGAAGUUCAUGAAUGCAAUCUAGGAGGGGAACACAGGUGAGAGCUGCUAUGUUACAAUUUAGAGCUUCUACUGUGUGUCAGGCUCAUAGCCAAGUACGUUACCCAAGGUAGCUCAUUUACUACCACUUGCUGAAGCUAGAUUGCAUUAUCCCAUUUUAACAGAUGAAGAAACUCGAAGCUUAGAUCAAGGCACGUGUCCAAGUAGCUAAAAAGUGGCAAAGGCAAGAUAGGAAACCAGGCCUGACUUCAUAACCUAGAAUGCCCUUCUGUUCCAAGGGGACCCCCUAACUGAGCAGCAUCAACAAAGACUGGUCCCAGUGAGUGUGCUAGAGCUCCAGCUCCUGCCUGUUGUGAGCCUGAGGCAGGGAGCUACUCCAACUCCAAAACAGAGCGACCCCACAAAGACCCAAACCAAAAGGAAAGCUACCAUCCUGCCAGAACUGGGCAUGGAGUCUGAGAAAACUUGGUCUGUAGCCCAGUCCAUCUCUUCAAUUUCCUGUGUUUUCACUAUAGGUGACAUGACUGUGUCCUAGUGCCCCACUUGACUUUGUGCACAAAGAUUGAGAACUCUUCACUUUGGCUGCCCUAACUCUUGGAAUCUCAAACUUAGGUAGCCUUGACACUGUAGAGCCAGGGCUGGGAUGGACAAUGGACGUGAAACCUCAGAAAGGCAUAGAGCAAAGGACCCUGAGAGUUUUAGAAGUGUAGUAUGGAGCAGUGUGCCAACACAAAGCUUCCUCCCUACCAUGCCUACACCAAGAGAAUGCCUCCCUGGGUAAGAAGGUGCUGAUGAUACCACAAUGUUCGAUGAUUAAGGAAACGAAUCUCAUGGAAUGGUCAAGAAAAGCACGAUACUGGAUGUGCUCCUUGCUCAGGACACACAGGCCAGCAGAUGAUCCCUUGUAGUCCCUGGAAAGCACCCUGAUGGACUGGGCUUCAUCUGGAAAUUCUCAGAGAAGGCAGGCAGGUUUGGUUUUCACCUUCCCAUUCAUCUUCUAAAUCCUGAACUAAGCUUACCAAAGUGUAGUAGGGAAAGCUCUGUUCUCUAUCCAGAGGCUACGUAUGAGUAGGAAGAAUCAAAGCAUUUGCCAAGGAGGUGCAUGGUGUGGUUGGAGAAACACGGGCUUUGGCGGGAAACAAACUUCAAAUGAAUCAUGGCUCAGUUACAUCCCAGCUGUGUACUUUUAAACAAACCACUUUCACCUCUCA